AGGAAGAGAAAAAUAGUAUUCGGCCAAAAGAGAAGAAGAAAGAAAGACAAUAUUUGGCCGCAGAGGAGAGAGGAAAGAACCAAAGGCUAUUCGGCCAAAACAAAAAAAGGGCAUAAAGGGAAAUGUAAAAAAAUAAAACGAACAAACUUGGGAGAUACUUUGAAGUCUUUGCAAGGUUCGACACCAAAAGAAAAAGGAGAAAACAAAAAGGAGAAAACAAAAAUGUUCACCCACACUGAAGCAGACAGAGAGAAAAAUAAAAUAAAAUAAAAACCAACAAUCCCUCAAAAGCUGAAAAUGACCCCAAAACUCCCCCUAGCUAAAUUCUCACACUAAAAAAUCCCCAAACGGCAUAACUUCCCCCUCCUAAUCAAAUUCCUUUAUUUUUUCCUAAAAAUUCUCCCCUUAACCCUCCUUGAUUUUCUCCACCAAUUCUUCCUCAACUCCCUCUCUAUGACCAGUUCAAAC
rnacentral:lncRNA from 1 species